GACGAACGCUGGCGGCGUGCUUAACACAUGCAAGUCGAACGGAAAGGCCCUGCUUUUGUGGGGUGCUCGAGUGGCGAACGGGUGAGUAACACGUGAGUAACCUGCCCUUGACUUUGGGAUAACUUCAGGAAACUGGGGAUAAUACCGGAUAGGAGCUCCUGCUGCAUGGGGGGGGAUGGAAAGUGUCGGCGGUUGGGGAUGGACUCGCGGGUUAUCAGCUUGUUGGUGGGGUAGUGGCUUACCAAGCCUUUGAAGGGUAGCCGGCCUGGGAGGGUGACCGGCCACAUUGGGACUGAGAUACGGCCCAGACUCCUACGGGAGGCAGCAGUGGGGAAUAUUGCACAAUGGGCGGAAGCCUGAUGCAGCAACGCCGCGUGCGGGAUGACGGCCUUCGGGUUGUAAACCGCUUUCGCCUGUGACGAAGCGUGAGUGACGGUAAUGGGUAAAGAAGCACCGGCUAACUACGUG
rnacentral:rRNA from 1 species